CGUGGGUAACCUGCCCAAGAGAUCGGGAUAACACCUGGAAACAGAUGCUAAUACCGGAUAACAACAGAUGAUGCCUAUCAACUGUUUAAAAGAUGGUUCUGCUAUCACUCUUGGAUGGACCUGCGGUGCAUUAGCUAGUUGGUGAGGUAACGGCCCACCAAGGCGACGAUCAGUAGCCGGCUUGAGAGAGUGUACGGCCACAUUGGGACUGAGACACGGCCCAGACUCCUACGGGAGGCAGCAGCC
rnacentral:rRNA from 1 species